rnacentral:rRNA from 1 species
AGCGAACGCUGGCGGCAGGCUUAACACAUGCAAGUCGAGCGCCCCGCACGGGGAGCGGCAGACGGGAGAGUAACACGUGGGAACAUACCUUUUGGUUCGGAACAACUGAGGGAAACUUCAGCUAAUACCGGAUAAGCCCUUACGGGGAAAGAUUUAUCGCCGAAAGAUUGGCCCGCGUCUGAUUAGCUAGUUGGUGAGGUAACGGCUCACCAAGGCGACGAUCAGUAGCUGGUCUGAGAGGAUGAUCAGCCUCACUGGGACUGAGACACGGCCCAGACUCCUACGGGAGGCAGCAGUGGGGAAUAUUGGACAAUGGGGGCAACCCUGAUCAAGCCAUGCCGCGUGAGUGAUGAAGGCCUUAGGGUUGUAAAGCUCUUUUGACCGGGAAGAUAAUGACGGUACCGGGAGAAUAAGCCCCGGCUAACUUCGUG